rnacentral:rRNA from 1 species
GAUGAACGCUAGCGGGAGGCCUAACACAUGCAAGCCGAGCGGUAGAGAUUCUUCGGAAUCUUGAGAGCGGCGUACGGGUGCGGAACACGUGUGCAACCUACCUUUAUCUGGAGGAUAGCCUUUCGAAAGGAAGAUUAAUACUCCAUAAUAUAUUGAUUGGCAUCAAUUGAUAUUGAAAGCUCCGGCGGAUAGAGAUGGGCACGCGCAAGAUUAGUUAGUUGGUGAGGUAACGGCUCACCAAGACGAUGAUCUUUAGGGGCCUGAGAGGGUGAUCCCCCACACUGGUACUGAGACACGGACCAGACUCCUACGGGAGGCAGCAGUGAGGAAUAUUGGUCAAAUGGGUGCAAGCCUGAACCAGCCAUCCCGCGUGAAGGACGACUGCCCUAUGGGUUGUAAACUUCUUUUGGUAUAGGGAUAAACCUACCCUCGUGAGGUAGCUGAAGGUACUAUACGAAUAAGCACCGG